rnacentral:lncRNA from 1 species
CAGGUGGAGGCCGCCAUCGUGGACCGGAAAAGGUAGGCUCUUCCGGAUGACCAUUAUUCCAGUGAGGAUGGGGGGGGGGCACGUCAUCGACAGGAAGUGAGAGACCAGCAGGUGGGGCUGAUGCCUUUGGGGAAGAAGAAAGUGGAAGAGACAGCCCACCUGCGCCAUCUUUUUUAAGAGGCUUUUGUCCACCAUAUUUAGAGCACUCAGGGGCUCUACGCUCGCCAGUUUGGGCUGGAAACGCCUCAGACGCCUUUACGGCAUGAGGACCUUUUACUAAGGAGGCCUGUACCGGCCAUUCUUGACUCAUGACAUAACCCACAAUAGGGAUCCUUACCUGAAACUUCAGUAUUUACCUGGUAUACCUGAGGCCCCUGUUCAGGCACCAAUUGUUUUUGUCCACGAGCCCGCUCACGUAACAAGGUUCAGGGGCCCGGACUGGGAGGGCAAGGGCACGGAAUCACCACGCGGACUCCGAGGAGGUUUCUGGAACGCUUCCGUUUUAUGAGGAAAUGCACAGACUUAUACAGGAAGUGCCAGAAUCACAAGGCAGUGAAAAGAAACACGGGAAGUGGACUCAUAAUAAGGGACACAGCGGGAGAAGAAUUUUCACCUUUUUCCAGAAUAUUCACACCAGGGAAGGACAAAUUCUUAAUGAUUACACUCAUAUGAGAACCUGAAGUGGUCAGAUUCAUAAAAACAGAAUGUAGAGUGGUCGUGACCAGACACUGGGGGAAAGGGAAAAUAAAUUGUUAACGACCAGAGUUUCAGCUUAAGAAGAUGAAAUAUUCUGGAAAAUGUAAGUAUACUUAAUAACACUAAAUUUAAAA